rnacentral:rRNA from 1 species
GAUCUGGUUCAGGAUGAACGCUAGCUACAGGCUUAACACAUGCAAGUCGAGGGGCAGCAUGAGCUUAGCUUGCUAAGCUUGAUGGCGACCGGCGCACGGGUGAGUAACGCGUAUCCAACCUUCCCCUUAGUAGGGCAUAGCCCGGUGAAAAUCGGAUUAAUACCCUAUGUUCUUCACAGCGGACAUCUAACGUGAAGCAAAGGUUCACCGCUAAGGGAUGGGGAUGCGUCUGAUUAGGUAGUCGGCGGGGUAACGGCCCACCGAGCCAUCGAUCAGUAGGGGUUCUGAGAGGAAGGUCCCCCACAUUGGAACUGAGACACGGUCCAAACUCCUACGGGAGGCAGCAGUGAGGAAUAUUGGUCAAUGGGCGCGAGCCUGAACCAGCCAAGUAGCGUGCAGGAUGACGGCCCUAUGGGUUGUAAACUGCUUUUAUGCGGGGAUAAAGUCACCCACGUGUGGGUGUUUGCAGGUACCGCAUGAAUAAGGACCGGCUAAUUCCGUGCCAGCCGCGGC